ACCGGCCUACGGGGCGCAGCAGUGGGGAAUAUUGGACAAUGGGGGGAACCCUGAUCCAGCGACGCCGCGUGAGUUAAGAAGUAUUUCGGUAUGUAAAGCUCUAUCAGCAGGGAAGAAAGAAAUGACGGUACCUGACUAAGAAGCCCCGGCUAACUACGUGCCAGCAGCCGCGGUAAUACGUAGGGGGCAAGCGUUAUCCGGAUUUACUGGGUGUAAAGGGAGCGUAGACGG
rnacentral:rRNA from 1 species